GGGCCUAUAGCUCAGCUGGUUAGAGCGUCCGGCUCAUAACCGGAUGGUCCCUGGUUCAAAUCCAGGUGGGCCCACCA
rnacentral:tRNA from 1 species